rnacentral:siRNA from 1 species
UGAUAGCCUAGAACACCACUUCC